rnacentral:rRNA from 1 species
GCCUAACACAUGCAAGUCGAACGAGACCUUCGGGUCUAGUGGCGCACGGGUGCGUAACGCGUGGGAACCUGCCCUUAGGUUCGGAAUAACUCAGAGAAAUUUGAGCUAAUACCGGAUAAUGUCUUCGGACCAAAGAUUUAUCGCCUUUGGAUGGGCCCGCGUAGGAUUAGCUAGUUGGUGGGGUAAAGGCCUACCAAGGCGACGAUCCUUAGCUGGUCUGAGAGGAUGAUCAGCCACACUGGGACUGAGACACGGCCCAGACUCCUACGGGAGGCAGCAGUGGGGAAUAUUGGACAAUGGGCGAAAGCCUGAUCCAGCAAUGCCGCGUGAGUGAUGAAGGCCUUAGGGUUGUAAAGCUCUUUUACCAGGGAUGAUAAUGACAGUACCUGGAGAAUAAGCUCCGGCUAACUCCGUGCCAGCAGCCGCGGUAAUACGGAGGGAGCUAGCGUUGUUCGGAAUUACUGGGCGUAAAGCGCACGUAGGCGGCGAUUCAAGUCAGAGGUGAAAGCCCGGGGCUCAACCCCGGAACUGCCUUUGAAACUAGAUUGCUAGAAUCCUGGAGAGGUUAGUGGAAUUCCGAGUGUAGAGGUGAAAUUCGUAGAUAUUCGGAAGAACACCAGUGGCGAAGGCGGACUAACUGGACGACACCAGACGCUGAGACGCGACAGCACGGGGAGCGAACGGGAUUAGAAACCCCGGUAGUCCGUGCCGUAAACGAUGUGUGCUAGAUGUUCGGUUGGCUACGGCUGGCUGAGCGUCGCAGCAAACGCGAUAAGCACACCGCCUGGGGAGUACGGUCGCAAGGCUAAAACUCAAAGGAAUUGACGGGGCCCCGCACAAGCAGCGGAGCGUGUGGUUUAAUUCGAGGCUACGCGAAGAACCUUACCUGGGUUUGACAUCCGGCGCUACCAUGUGAAAGCAUGGGUUCCGCAAGGACGCCGAGACAGGUGCUGCAUGGCUGUCGUCAGCUCGUGUCGUGAGAUGUUCGGUUAAGUCCGAAAACGAGCGCAACCCCCGGGUCCAGUUACAUGUGUCUGGACCGACUGCCUGCGACAAGUGGGAGGAAGGUGGGGAUGACGUCAAGUCAGCAUGGCCUUUACAUCCAGGGCCACACACACGCUACAAUGGCGCGUACAAUGGGAAGCAAGACCGCGAGGUGGAGCGAAUCCUGAAAGCGCGUCGUAGUUCGGAUUGCAGGCUGCAACCCACCUGCAUGAAGCUGGAGUUGCUAGUAAACGCAGGUCAGCACACUGCGUUGAAUACGUUCUCGGGGCUUGUACACACCGCCCGUCACGUCAUGGGAGCUGGUCACGCCUGAAGUCGGGAAGGUAACCGCAAGGAGCCUACUGCCGAAGGCAGGGCCGGUGACUGGGACGAAGUCGUAACAAGGUAGCUGUACCGGAAGGUGCGGCUGGAUCACCUCCUU